CAGGAAACAUAAUUGAAUGAAGAAUUGAUUUUUAUUGCCUGUAAUAAAAAGCAGUUCUUAUUACUUUUACAAAUUACUCAUAAUUACAAUUGUCUAGAGAAUGCCUUAUCACCCUGAGUGGAGCCGAAAUAGGCUGGAUGCACAAUAGUACUUCUAUGUCUGUGAUUUAAAACUUGUGUUCUCAUUAAUGGCAAUGUAAAUUAGCACUAUGGCAAAUUUAGUUCGUAUCAUUUUACUGGACAGAUUUUAAUACUGCUGGGGAAGAAUCUUAAGCAGACAUGCAAUUUAUUUCUGAGUGGCAUCAUUCCUGCUGGAGCAUGUGCACUGAGUCUAAGAGGUUUCUUUAACUAUUAAAGAAGUAGAGUUGUGCAAGUUACACUUCAUGAAACAUUUUGAUUUUGUCUUUUAGAGCCCAAGUGCUGGAAAUUCUGGAGCAUUAUAAGCAGGUAUCAGAUUUGUUACAUUGCAGACAUGAAAUCUAGUGUCAGCAUUAAGGUUGCACUGAUUAGGUUCAGCAAAUAUAUAUUGAAUGGCCUUUCCUAAAGACUUGUCUUUAAAUUUCACAGAAAAGCAGCAGUAAGUUUGCACCUGCCACAUCUGAAUUCUUUUUUUCUUGUUUAUCAUGCAGUAAAGCUAAUAGAGAAUAUACCUGGUAUUUUUCUGCCUUUUUUUUUUUUUAAGUAGAACAGGUAACUCUGGGUCACUUUCAUAUACUUGAUCUGUUACAAGGCAGAGAAAGAAAAGCUAGAAUUAAUCACAACCUCUCUCACCUCCCUAAGGAAAAAUGAAGUGUUAAAAAUGCCCUGAGCACUCAGUCUUCAUUAACUUCUAUCGCAGAGUUUUGUGCCUUCUUUAAAUGUGUCAUUCUGAUAAAUCAAGGUAUCGAUAUCAGUUGAUUACAAAGAAAAUGUCUUUCAAGAAGAAUGAGAACCAGUUUGGGGAUAAGAUGCUGAUAUUUCUUAUGACUUGUUGUAUGAAACAUCUGGCCUUCCAUUUUUAAAAAGUGUGAACAUAAAUGAGGGUUAAUUUUCUGAUAAGUGUUUUAAUACUAAAUUAGAUUUUCUAAUUUUGUUCAUGUUAUACUUUAUAUUUUAUGUGUUUUAACUCACUCAUUUAAAACUUACUACCUUUAAGGCAAAUAUUUAUGUUAGACAGUCCUGUGCAAACUUGGAUUCAUGAUUAUUUUUUACCAAUCAACAAGUCCUAUUAGUUCACUAAAACCUGCCUAAGGAUAUAAUCAGCAAUUUAAAGAACAGUUCAUACAUUAAGCUUGCAUACCAGAUAUCUAGACAUAUCCUAACCACACCAUGCAACACAAACAGGCAGUUUAUAUAGGCAUGUGCUGGGCUUCUGCAGUUAUUCAAUACCACAAUUAAGUUAUCAAACUCUUUAGUAAUGUAUAUGGUAUUUCUAAUGCUCUGUGCCUCAGGCAUUCUUAUGAAUAAGAACCUUUCAUUUCCUGUGUUUGCCAGUAUAAGCCCCAGUUUAAAGCAUCAAAAAUAUAAAAAAAAAAAAAAAAACCAAAACAAAAAAAAAAAACAAAAAACCACACCAAAACAAAACACAACAAACCCAAAUCAAACCUUCCUAAGGCUUCUCUCAGGACAUCCUACUUGAAAUUUCAGUGAAGAAAUGCAUACUUAGGCCUACUUAAUAAAAUCUUGAAAUGUCAUUCUACACUCAACAGGAGAAUUUUAAUAAUUGCUAAUAUUAAAGGAAACAAAGCGAACUAUGACCUUGGAAAAGAGAGCUCUUCUAGUCCACUUAGCCCUGGGAACCUCAGAGCAGAGAAACUGCUCCUUUCCUGGACACAGCAGACUGCUGUGGACUGUGCAAGUUCUUCUAAGUUUUCCCAUGGCAGCCUCCUGCUCUGCAUCCCUGAUGCAUGGACCAUCAGAGGAGACAACCCUUUCUUGUUCCCCAUGAACACAUGCCACCAGGCUCUCAAGUCACAUAAAUCAUGUAUAUGCCAUCAUACACAUUUAGGUUUCAGUUUGCGCUGAAGUGCAGACUCCCCAGUUGCUUGCUUUCCAGCUUGAGCCUACAGUGGCCUAGGUAGGCAAGUUGGGAGGAAAAGUUCUUCAUGGUGAGGUCAUUACGCUCACGUUCUCUUUGUACAUGUCCUGUUAGAUGUAACAGCAUCGUCAUGAUUUCUCUUGGCCUGUCAGUCCCCCCAUCCCAAGAAUAUUCACUUUCAGCAGGUCUCUAAGAAAGCACUGUAAUUGUGAAGGAACUCUCCACCCGCUGUUAUUGCUACAGCAGGUCACAGGGAAGGACCGAGGCUGGCCCUUAGAUGGAACCAUGGCGUGGGUUUCUGUCUGAGAAGACCUAUGGAAAAACUCUUUGGAAAACUAAACACUACUUGGAGAAGCCAGGCUGAGGCUUAUAUCAACGGAGCAGUGUUCAGUUCAAAAACAAAAGGUAAAAAAAGAUUUUCCCUUAGAGAAAGGACUGAGCCAAUUAGGUCCGUGAGAUGCACUUUUCCUUUUUAAGAUUAUUUUCACAGGAUACUUGGAUGGCAGAUCACCAGGGAGUGCUAGUGUUCACGGGCUCUUGUCAGCAGGGCAGAGCUGAGUGUCCAACAGAAGUGCCAGGGCCACCUCGGCAAGGGGUCCUCAACACACCUCAGGCUCAGCCCACUUCCAAACUCAGACCUGGUGUCAUCAUCCAAGACAUGACCUUCCCAGAUCUCUCCAGGCACAGCCAGACCCCUUCCACAGCCCAAGAGCUGGCCUCUGAUAUAUAUAAAGGAGGGACACUGAUCCAGGACGUUUUCACCAUGCAAGUUCCAAGCAACUUCAGCCUGUUCAAGUGGACCAAGAGCAGAUGAUAUGGCAGAGAAACUGCAAGACAACUAGAGGACUGAAGUGAGAGCCUACAUCCAGAAGGAUAUGAAGAUCAACCUAAAGUCAACUGACAAUGGGCUGGGUCCACCAGAAGUUCUUGGCCUAUGGAUGUAGGACCAAAAAAAAAGCCAGAAAAGCAGCUUUUAAACGCUGGACAGUGCCAGAGCUACUACCAGCACUCAUUGUGGUAGGGGACAAAACCCCAUGACCCUGCAGGAAUUUUGUCCGCUGAAACUUUUUUCAAGAUUUUGGGCUAUACCUUCAAUCACUAGAAAAGAUGGGGUAGUCUGGCUCCUUUUCCAAUGACUGUGAUGGGUAGGGACUACAUGUAUGUUCUCUGAAACAGGUCAUGCGACUGUUGUUAUUUUUCCCUCAGUGAUGUAAUAUCACUGCAAGCAUAAUCAUUCCUUGUUCUUUAGGCCAAUUGACCAACAUUUACUGUUUAUGAAAAAAUAAAUGUGUUUCAGCUGUUGAA